rnacentral:rRNA from 1 species
UGAUCCUGGCUCAGGACGAACGCUGGCGGCGUGCCUAAUACAUGCAAGUAGAACGCUGAAGACUUUAGCUUGCUAAAGUUGGAAGAGUUGCGAACGGGUGAGUAACGCGUAGGUAACCUGCCUACUAGCGGGGGAUAACUAUUGGAAACGAUAGCUAAUACCGCAUAACAGCAUUUAACCCAUGUUAGAUGCUUGAAAGGAGCAAUUGCUUCACUAGUAGAUGGACCUGCGUUGUAUUAGCUAGUUGGUGAGGUAACGGCUCACCAAGGCGACGAUACAUAGCCGACCUGAGAGGGUGAUCGGCCACACUGGGACUGAGACACGGCCCAGACUCCUACGGGAGGCAGCAGUAGGGAAUCUUCGGCAAUGGGGGCAACCCUGACCGAGCAACGCCGCGUGAGUGAAGAAGGUUUUCGGAUCGUAAAGCUCUGUUGUAAGAGAAGAACGUGUGUGAGAGUGGAAAGUUCACACAGUGACGGUAACUUACCAGAAAGGGACGGCUAACUACGUGCCAGCAGCCGCG